CAGCGAUAACAGGAGCGGUGGUCUGCUCAACAUUGGAACAACCCUGCUGCUGGAACUUUAUGACGAUUUUAAAGGUGUCAUCACCACGAAGGGCAAUACUGUCGCAAUUAACAAGAUGACUGAUGUGAAUCUGUGACUUGGAGAUGUCUUGAAUUAGACAUAAAUACGAACAAUGCAUUGUCAGCGCAGGACUUUGACCAACUUAAUCUUUGGUGUUCUCUUCGUAAAUGUUAUCAAACUUUCAUCCCCUCUACAAGUUUCUUCAGUGGUCUGUAACUGCAGCAGCAUUACUUCAUGUUAUGGACAUUGUGUCACAUCCCAAGAAAUAGGUGAAUUAGAUUGCUUUGGUAAACGUAUAAACCCAAGAAUCAAAUGGAAAUGUGUUUGGACAAAUGGAAAACUCACUGUCAACAAAAUGUACAGAUACACACUGGUUAUAGAACAAAAAAAAUACUGCCAAAUAUAUCCAAACAUAUCAGGAACAUCGAUGGACCUUCGAAUCGUAAACGAACGUUACAACAUCACAGCUCGUUUGUUUGACGAGAGUUAUCCGCACAGCUGCAAAGAGACUGUUUUCAGAGGUUUUCCUCCAGAAUUGGUUCGAUGUGGCCCCCCAUUAAGUGUAGACUUUAAACGCCAUUCAAGACAGCUGGACAUCUUGCCAUCCUGGGGAAUGGAGAAGAGGUAUAUCCAGUCUUACACAGUGAGAUACAAAGAACUGAAGGGACCGUCGUGGGCAGAGCCAACAGUGUAUUCACAGGAUAUAAAUAAAUUAACUGUGAGAAAUCUUAGCUCUUCGAUGACAUAUGAGGUGCAGCUUCGGGUUCUGGAGAACCAAAGAUGCACCCAGGUGCCCUGGAGCAAGAGUUUCCUUGUCCAACCAGAACUUACAGAUGAGCCUGUCAUUAAGAUGGUUAAAGAUAUUUCAAAAAUGAAAGGGAAGAGAUUGGUGACCAUCAAAUGGAAGUUUGCAGCCAGUGAAGUAUCUGAAGGCUACAGGGUGACUGUGAAGAAGUCAGGAGGGGAGACCACUGAGACCUUUAACACAAGCCACCCCUUACUCACGCUGAUCCUGUCUCACUCAGCCUACCAAUUUGAGAUAAUUGCUAUCAGCAAGGUUGGAACUUCGCCUGCUGCACAAAGGACUAUACCUCCAUUUUACGACAAAGGCUUAAACGGGAAGCUGAAGGUGACAUUUAAUGGCAAUACGUCCUUUAAUGUCUCAUGGGUCGAUGACCUAAUCAAAAACUACUCCUGCUUCGCAGUGGAGUGGUGGGGGAAUAAAGAGAAAGCUGCUCACAAAUCAUUUUAUGAGGAUGAGAAGAUAUAUAAAGUCAUACUAUUGGAUGAGCCAUUGCAGCAGUAUACAAGGUAUACCUUCACCCUGCACACAAGGCUAGACAAAGAUGUCUGCAACCUAAAAUCCAUCAACAACAGUGAGAGCACCUACGGGAGCAUUCAAGCCUACUUCAAAGAAGGAAUUCCCAUCAGUGCUCCAGGGAACAUCAGCAGCAAUGUUACCCAGAGUUCCAUGGUGCUAGAGUGGAUAGCUGUCCCUGAGGAGGACACCAGAGGUUUUCUUCUUGGCUACAUUCUCUACUACAGAGAGAAUCCACAGGAUGGGACAGAAACUGAGACAAACAUUACUAUAGAUGCUGGUUCAAUGAGCUACGAGUUGGUUGACCUGAAGAGCAGCACUGUGUACAAGGUCCAGUUGUCUGCCUUCACUGGUGCAGGAAUGGGAGUGAGAAGCUCAGCUGCAUACUUUGAAACCAAGCCAAAAGAUUGGCUUUUUAAUCCGUCAUGUAAAGUUUGAAAUUAAACUGAAAUAUCCUUCAUUUGGAAUACUAUUUUGUAAUGAUUUACAUUACCUGUCCUUUGUGCUUUCCCUCCCAGCAUACUUUACUGCAAAUGGUGUGAUAGCAGGGGUUGUUGCUGGAGUACCUAUACUCUUACUUUUGGUUCAUCUUUCUUCUAUGUUGUUUAAAAGGGCAAAGAAACUACCUUGGCCAAUUAUCCCUAAUCCUGAUAACAGCAAUGCCAUCCAGAAAUUAGAUGGGGUCUGUGAGCUGAAACUCCUGGACCCCAAUAACAGCCAGACGUUAGAAGAAGAGGAGGGAGACUCUAAAAGUCUGUGCAUCAUUGAUAGAAAUGAAGAAAUAUCUUCCAUUAGCAACAUCUACAGCAACAAUGACAUGUGUCCACAGUUGAACACAGACCAAACGGGGGCCCAAGGGCCUUCUACAUCCACCACAGACUCCCCCAAGCCAAGUUCAGUAGAUCUUCAAACUGACACCGCCACUGCCUGUAAAGCAGCAGGUCCCACUUCCGACAUGGAUGCACGUACUAGCACAGACAUGACACAGACCGCCAUGGCUCCAAACAGCACGGUGGCCCACAAGUGCCCCCCCUUGGCCUUUCUGAGCGAUUACACCACCAUGGAACUCUUCCAACAGACCAUGCCUCAGGGCAUUUCUGCCACAUGUUCAUCAUUGACUCAGGGUCCAUCGAGCCAGUCAACAGACACAGACUCAACUCUGACUCCACUAGAGUUGCAUUAUAUCUGCCCGUCCCUCAGUCAAACUGCCAUCCAACCAUCCCACGGCAGCGCCAGUGAAACUCAGAACGCAGAGGAAUGUUACACAGUCCUUUGAUUUUUACCAGUCAUUCAAAGUAGUUGAUGUAAAACUAUUAUAAACUGUAUGUAAAGAACCAUCUCACUACAUCCUAUUAUAAACUGUAUGUAAAGAAACAUCUCACUGCAUCCUAUUAUAAACUGUAUGUAAAGAACCGUCUCACUGCAUCCUAUUAUAAACUGUAUGUAAAGAACCAUCUCACUGCAUCCUAUUAUAAACUGUAUGUAAAGAACCAUCUCACUGCAUCCUAUUAUAAACUGUAUGUAAAGAACCAUCUCAC
ensembl:lncRNA